CAUGCAGUCUCCAGCUGUGCAGAUGGAGGUAUGUGUACAGUCACCGCCAUUGUCUGUCAGGAUUACUGGAGGCGUCAUUAACCCCUUCACUACCAGCCCUCUCCCUGGAUCCGCUCUCCCUCUGGGGCUGACACUGCCCUCUAGUCCCUUCUUCAGGCUCUUUCCAGCAGUGAAGGUGCAGUGGUGAGGCUGCCUCCCAACUGUCCCAGAUCCGGUGGGACAGUCCCAGAACGGCUGAGAAUUCCACCACUUUUCCUUCUUGGUGUGACAAUCUCAGUGCUGAGGAGUCUAUGUAUAAUAAGCCCAGGACGAUCUGUAUUUGGGGUAAAUCCUGAGAUCCCAGCUGAUAGGAUGAGGGUAGUCUCAGCUCUGGAUCUAUGACGUCACCUACCAGAUUACAGGUUCCUACAAUAUAGGAUCCGCUCAGUGGAUAUCUUCUAUAUAAGAUCCUUCUCCUGACUGACCCGUCAAGAAUGGAUAGGGACAGGGACAAGAUGGCGGAGAGUAUAAUAAAUCUCACCCUAGAGAUCCUCUUCUGUCUUACUGGAGAGGACUACACAGUGGUGAAGAAGACCUCUAGUGAGCGCUGUCAGGACCCUGUGUCUGAAGG